rnacentral:rRNA from 1 species
ACGGAGGAUGCAAGCGUUAUCCGGAUUCAUUGGGUUUAAAGGGCGCGCAGGCGGAAUGAUAAGUCAGUGGUGAAAGACUAUGGCUUAACUGGAGAACUGCCAUGGAAACUGUUGUACUAGAGGGCAGAAGAGAUGAGUGGAAUUCUCGAUGUAGCGGUAAAAUGCUUAGAUAUGGCGCAGAACACCGAUGGCGAAGGCAGCUUACUAGACCGUACCUGACGCUCAUGCGCGAAAGCGUGGGGAGCAAACAG